CUACGGGGUGCACCAGUGAGGAAUAUUGCACAAUGAGGGGAACCCUGAUGCAGCAACGCCGCGUGGAGGAUGACGCAUUUCGGUGUGUAAACUCCUUUUAUAUGUCAAGAAAAUGACGGUAGCAUAUGAAUAAGCACCGGCUAACUCCGUGCCAGCAGCCGCGGUAAUACGGAGGGUGCAAGCGUGUACUCGGAAUCACUGGGCGUAAAGGACGCGUAGGCGGGUUGGAAAGUCAGGUGUGAAAUCCUACAGCUUAACUGUAGAACUGCACUUGAAACUUCUAAUCUAGAGCAUGGGAGGGGGAGAUGGAAUUAGUGGUGUAGGGGUAAAAUCCGUAGAUAUCACUAGGAAUACCUAAAGCGAAGGCGAUCUCCUGGAACAUUACUGACGCUAAGGCGUGAAAGCGUGGGGAGCAAACAGGAUUAGAUACCCGCGUAGUC
rnacentral:rRNA from 1 species